rnacentral:rRNA from 1 species
AGUGAACGCUGGCGGUAGGCCUAACACAUGCAAGUCGAACGGCAGCACAGUAAGAGCUUGCUCUUACGGGUGGCGAGUGGCGGACGGGUGAGGAAUACAUCGGAAUCUACUUUUUCGUGGGGGAUAACGUAGGGAAACUUACGCUAAUACCGCAUACGACCUACGGGUGAAAGCAGGGGAUCUUCGGACCUUGCGCGAUUGAAUGAGCCGAUGUCGGAUUAGCUAGUUGGCGGGGUAAAGGCCCACCAAGGCGACGAUACGUAGCUGGUCUGAGAGGAUGAUCAGCCACACUGGAACUGAGACACGGUCCAGACUCCUACGGGAGGCAGCAGUGGGGAAUAUUGGACGAUGGGCGCAAGCCUGAUCCAGCCAUACCGCGUGGGUGAAGAAGGCCUGCGUGUUGUAAAGCCCUUUUGUUGGGAAAGAAAAGCAGCAGGUUAAUACCCCGCUGUUCUGACGGUACCCAAAGAAUAAGCACCGGCUAACUUCGU